GGGUGGGCAUGGCUGAGAUGACCAGACAUGGGAGAUGACACCUGCGCAAAUUUGGAGGCCCGUGAACCACUGCAUUGCCACAUCAGCAGAGAAAAUACCGGAUGGGAGGAGGAUGCAGAGCCAGGAAAACUACGGAGACAGGGUCACAGGGAAGAAACGGCACCAGGGAGCACUUAGAGAAAGAAAUGAUGGUUAUUUUUCCACAGAAUCAAUAAAAGCUGUCCCUCCACCACAUCUGACACACCAGCUCCUGUCAUUAACAUCCAAGUAUUAAGCCAGGGGAACUCAAUCUGGGAACACCAUCAACGGAGCCGCUAAAUUAUUACAUCUGAGGAAGAGAAAUUUACCUUGGCUGAUCUGCAUGUGUCAUCUCAAGCCUGUCUCAGGGAGACUGGAAUGCUGGGCCAGGAGAGCAGGCCUAGAAGAGGAAAUCAGUUUAAAGUGUCAGCCCUUGAUUUCUGAAGCCAGACCUUGGCACUGGUGGCAGACUUCUCAUGUGCUGAGGUCUCAAUUUAAAACCAAAGUGUCCCAAUGGCAC